UUAUUACCUUUAGAUCUAAAGACUAAUCUUUCAUUACCCAUGGCCUUUGAUACACUCAUGAAAAUGAAAGCAGAGGUUAUGAUAUAUCCAAAUCUAGUAACAUUGAAACUCGGUUAGGUUGCGAACAUUGUUAUCUGAUAGUUGGUAACUGGAGUAUGAUGGGCUGAGUAGCAGAUAAGUAGGUAACGUGUUUAGUGGCUGGCUACACGUCUAUGGACUACCGCAUUCUGGUAAAUGCUAUGUAGACUUGCUCGACUAGAUGAUCUAAAUCGAACCUUACCUCUGCGAGGUGGUUGAAUGGUAGCUUUCCUCGUAGAGCUCCUAUUGUGAUCAAUCGCCGCGUGUAAAUGAUGGCCAUUGGUUAUUCAAAGGCGCCAAUGACACGCCUUGUCAUAUCGAUUAUCAUAGGCACUCGGUAUGUAAGCAAGAGUUAGUGCCGCCCGAUAACUCACUGAGACUCUCCGAGUGAAACCGCUGAUUGUCCUCAGACUCAAUUGUAACUACUCAGUCUAGAGCAACCCACUAUCCGCAAUUUGUGGAAGCGCCCGAUGGCUCCCAGCUAAGCGCAUGAUAACGUUGAACACCACACAGAUCUCAGCUUAUAGUUCCAGCCUACUUGCUCAUAUUUAUCCCAUGCCGGGUAGUUAUUUUUGAUGUAACCACAUAUUUUAAUGUGGAUGUAGCCUUCCUCGUCAAGCUCCUCCUAUGUGAUCAAGGUCGUUCCGGUCCAUAGACCGAUCACCGCGUGAAACUGAUGGUCAUUGGUUAUUUAAAGCGGUCUCCUGUUCGUAUCGAGUAUCAUGAGCACUGAGUAUUAAAGACAAAGCUGGUGUCACCCUGCCUGUCACUGAGACUUCACGUGAUACAGGUGAUGUUGUUAUUGUUGUAGCAGUAUGUUUCUAGGGAUUCCCUAUACAGGCCCCGAUCCACAAAUUAAGUGCUGGAGAAGUGAGGAAGUCCGUGUCCCGCGAUGCCGCUGCGUUAACUUACUAGCUCUUGUUGUCCACCUUUUGAUUACUUUCGCGUCAACGUUCUUCACGUAGCGGUUCAAGUUGGUAUUACUAGAGUUCCUGUAUGGGGUUUGAUGUCCCAGCCCUUUGGUGCCUUUGUUGCGUUCGCCUUGUUUAGGCGCCUUCUGCAAUAUCUUCCUAGACCAAACAGUUCGGUGGUCCAUCAUGGCGUUCAUUGUUGGCCCCUUGUUUUGUUUCCAGGACAGGCUGACUUUAGC